GUGCCACUUUUACUUGGCUGGUAACACAUCCACUUUGCAGUGAGGACACAGGCUAAACCACUCAGUGCUGACAGUCCUCCAGAGCCUUCCCACAAUCCCCCCUGUGCAGAAGGACGGACAAGUUCUCCCACGAUUCAGUGGGAAAGAAGCAGAGCAGCUGAGCUUACUGCAGCACUAAGAACCAUGGGAGAUGCCCCCAAAAAUCUUAGUGACACA